AAAGAACUCAAUGGAUAUUUGAAUUUUGACGUGUUGAAAAAAGUGACGUCAUACUUGGGUUAUAUUUGCCAUGUUUUUUUUUUAUCAGAUAUUAGUGGCCGACAAUGGUCAACUAAGAUAUUGUAUUCACAAGUUUUUGGUGUCACGAAGGGUUCGUAGCGCAGCCGAUACUGAUAGUCGCCAAUCUGCGGGGAGGAUCAAGCUGUCGAUCAUUGGCGACGGUAUGAAUAAAUCUGUAGGGGAUAUGGACAGCGGAAGUGUCAAGUCCGCGAGAGACGAUGAUCCGGACGCUACUGACAGAGCACAGUGGGGAAACGGAAUAGAAUUUCUUAUGUCCUGCGUAGCAUUCUCCGUCGGCUUAGGAAAUGUCUGGCGAUUUCCUUACACGGCGUAUGAUAACGGCGGCGGUGCAUUUCUUAUACCAUACUUUGUGGUUCUUUUCAUCAUCGGUAAACCGUUUUACUACAUGGAGAUGGUCCUGGGACAAUUCACAAGCAGAUCGUGUGUGGAUAUUUGGUCAGCGUCGCCACUUUUUAAAGGCAUAGGCUAUGGAAUUGCUAUAUCAGUAUUCUCUGUAGUUACGUAUUACUGCGCCUUGAUGGCGCUGUCCAUGUUCUACCUAGUAGCGAGUUUCCAAUCGGAACUACCCUGGUCGACUUGCAACCCAGAGUGGGGUGAUGAAUGCGUCGAUUCUAGUUCCACCGGGAGUUUCAAUAGGACCUCUAGCAAGAGCAGUUCCGCAGAGUUGUAUUUUCUGAGGGUAGUUCUCAACGAAUCCAGUUUGCAAAAUGGCUUAGGUACGCCAUCUUGGAGGUUAGUUCUGUGUCUUCUCGCCAGCUGGAUCGCCGUAUACAUAGUUUUAUCAAGAGGUGUAAAGAGCACUGGAAAAGCUGCCUAUUUCCUGGCAUUAUUUCCCUACGUUAUUAUGAUCGGCCUCCUUGUCAGGGCUGUCACUCUCGAAGGCGCUUCCAAAGGCAUCAUCUAUCUCUACAGUCCAACCUGGAGUAAAAUCUUAGAUCCUUCUGUAUGGUACGCGGCAGUGACUCAGGCGUUCUUUUCUCUGGGUGUCUGUUUUGGCGCUGUUACCAUGUACUCUUCUUAUAACAAUUUCAAUCACAAUGUCACCAGAGACUGUACUAUCGUCACGUCUUUGGAUCUUUGCACAAGUCUCAUAGCUGGCACCGCCAUCUUUGGCAUUCUUGGUAACCUUGCACAUGAACUAGGAAAUGACGACAUAAGUACAGUUGUCCGUGCUGGCACCGGAUUGGCAUUCAUCUCGUACCCGGAAGCACUUUCGAAAUUUUCCGUAGUUCCGCAGCUGUUCUCGGUUUUAUUUUUUCUCAUGUUGUUCGUCCUGGGCGUUGGAACCUCUGUAGCCUUUUCCGGAGUUGUUAUCAGUAUUAUCAAGGACGAUUUUCCGAAUGUUGAUCAAUGGAAAAUUGCACUAGGUGUUUCAACGUGUGGCUUUUUAGUGGGAAUUAUUUAUUGUACUCCGAGUGGACAGUAUAUCUUAAAUUUAGUUGACUAUUUCGGCGGAACCUUUAUCAUCGUGUUCUUGGCAUCUUUUGAAGUUGUCGCCAUCUCUUGGGUAUAUGGUAUCAACAAUUUUAUGGAUGAUAUUGAAUUCAUGGUGGGAAAUAGACCUUCAAUUUAUUGGCGAUUCUGCUGGAGUUUCCUGACUCCGUUGAUGCUGUUUACUAUACUUAUUUAUUUUCUGGCUACUAUGACACCACUUACGUACAAUAACGAAACUUAUCCCACUGCCGCUUACGCUGUUGGGUGGACACUAUUGGUUGUUGGCGUAAUUCAAUUUCCAAUAUGGAUAAUUAUAGUUAAAAUGAAGAACAGAGACAAAUCAUGGCUCGAACUGUUAAAACCGACGAGCGACUGGGGUCCGAAGAAUCCGAAAAAAAGAAGGGAAUGGAUGGAUUUUAAGGAAUCGAGGCGUAUAAUCCGAGAAGAGAGUUUAAAGAAUUCGACUAAAGCAAAGAUCAUAGCUACUCUUUUUGGCGUGCAAAAAUGAGAUUGAACCAAUUAACCCUUUCGCUACGUCAGUCCGUUCCGCGGGAGUGGCGCCACUGAACGGGGCACUGCGCUUACGUCUUUCAAUGGCACUUUGGAAUUGUCUUAUUCUCUCAAUUCCCGUACGCAUCCCGUUGAUGCAUCAGAAGUGUGACUGGUAGGCAGCCAUAAUGAAAAAAAGGAAGGAAGGACUGAGUGGUGAAGAUAGUGCCAUCGAAUAUCUCAAUCGUUGUAAAACUCCAUCCCCUUUGGUUUCAAAUGUGGUCAACGAUAGAGGUUGGACUUAUAAGAGCUAAGCUGACGUCGCAUUUUGUGCAUUGCAAAAUUACAUGG